rnacentral:tRNA from 1 species
GCCCCCUUCGUCUAGUGGCCCAGGACACUGGACUUCUCGGUCCAGAAACAGGGGUUCGAAUCCCUUAGGGGGUA